rnacentral:rRNA from 1 species
CACGGGGGGAACGCGAAGAACCUUACCAGGGCUUGACAUGUCCAGGAAACCGGCGGAAACGUCGUCCUCCCGCAAGGGGCCGGUCCACAGGUGUUGCAUGGCUGUCGUCAGCUCGUGUCGUGAGAUGUUGGGUUAAGUCCCGCAACGAGCGCAACCCUUGUGGCAUGUUGUAUCACUCACGCGGGACUGCCGAGAGAAACUCGGAGGAAGGUGGGGAUGACGUCAAGUCAGCAUGGCCCUUACGUCCUGGGCUACACCCACGCUACAAUGGCCGGUACAACGGGUUGCCAAACCGCGAGGUGGAGCUAAUCCCUAAAAGCCGGUCUCAGUUCGGAUUGCAGGCUGCAACUCGCCUCCAUGAAGCCGGAGUUGCUAGUAACCGCAGGUCAG